UCUUUGCCCUCUCGGGGCGGAAGGAACGCGGCCAGCCAGAGAAAGGCCCGGCACGACCCAGCAGCCCGAGUCGGGGGGAGCGGCCCCCCUUUUGCCGAGCGGGCUGCGAGUUGGGGCCGCCCUGCGGGCGGUGACUGGAGCGGCCCUGCCCAGAUACUGCGGCGGGCCGGCAGCUCGGCCCCCGGGGCUCCUCCGGCAGCGUGGAGCGGGUGGGGGCGCGCAGUCCAGCCGGGCGGCCUUGGGGUUCUGAGGCCCAGCCGCAGGGGUAGACUCGGCCUGAAGGAUCUCGACGCUACAAUUUCUGGUUCUGAAUUUCUCAACUGGGGCCUAAUCCCCUAGGGACACUAAGGGUGGCGGGAUGAGUUUCCGGAGCAGUGCUCCCCUUCUCCCCCAGCCCUUUUUCUCUGUCCUCCUCUUCAGACCUUUCAUUUUUUUCUUUUCUGCUAGUUUAAUAGUUGGGGAAUGAAUGCUCUGAGUGGGGAAGAAUUAGGCCAGGGGGUGCCCUUGCCCAGUUGGCGCUUUCUCCGUGUGCGCUGACCUGCGGUCAUGGCUUGGAGCGACCCGUGGAAAGGGCGGAGUCCUCAAGUGGAGGAGCUUCUAAUGAACAUGAUUCAGCUCUUGUCCUGCAACACAAAAGCCAAGACUGAAACUGAGAGAAUUCACCUGGGUGAAUGCCACUCCGAGGCCUCCUAGCCCCCCAGCUUUCUGAUACCCCAACUUAGCACCGCCUCCUAUGCACUUUUAUACAGAAAUGAAUCUGCAUUUAGAUCAGAAAUCAAAACAUUGCAAAGAUUUGAGGAGCUUUGUAACUAAUUUCUGUUUAUGAAUAAAACUCUUAAAAUGAA